CUCGCCGGAGCCGGAGCGCCCGCCCGAUCGCACUGUCUCCGUCGCCAACAACUUCAGCUACUUCUCCCACCGUGGUGACGUGAGCAUCGUGUUCCCUACACCACCUUGAACCUCCCUACGCCAUUCGUUUGCUCUCUACCGGGUCCUAGUGGCCGGCCGACAGUCGGCCAUGGCGACCGCCCGCUCCUAUCGUGGCCGAGGUGGUAGCAGUGAGGUAGAGCGUCCGCGAGUGGUACCAAUGGAGUCGCGGAGUUGAGGCGGAGCCGAUGCGCGCGCGCGCGGAGGCCGAGGGCCUCGCUAUCGGUCGCCGGAGUUGCGGCCGAGCCGCCGUGCGUGAGAGAGAGAGAUCUGACGGGUGGGGCUACCCUGUCAGUGGCUGAGAGAGAGAGAGAGCGCGCGGGCGUGCGCGGCGCGGACGCGGGCCGGGAGCAGUGGGCCGGUCUGCGGCCCAGUUUCGAAGCAACCCACUGCGCAGUGUCUUUUUUUUUUUUUUCUUUUGUGCAGUUUUUUGCUUGAUAUUUGAAAAUUGUGUAUUAAUUUGUGUAGUGAUCCAAAAAUAGUGAAACUUUUUGUAUAGCUUACAUAAAAUGGAUAGAGCCUAAGAAAAAUGUUAGGUUUGAUUUUCUGGUAAUUUUCAUGUAUACAUAAAUUGCCUUUGUUUAUUAAUGAAUAAACCUUCCUUGAUUUUUAAUAGUUCAUAGGUAUAUCCAAAAAUCAUGAAAUUUAAUAUGUGAGCUUGUGUU
rnacentral:lncRNA from 1 species